AGACUGGACAAUCUAAGGAAGUUGGAGUUGGACAUCAAGUUAAGAGCUGGUGAAAGCUUAGUCUUCUUCACUUUUUUUACCAAGGCAUGUCCUUUGCUGUCUAGAUUCACAGCCCAGAUAGGAUACACGUUUGUCUCAAAUGAGACUAUCGCUACUCAGUGUCAUCAUGAAAGUUCAGCUCGAUUGUGUACUCGUUUCGUCCACAAACAUCUCAAAGAGGUGAAGUUGAUUGGUUUUACAGGAGGUAGAAGUGAUUAUAAACUUGCGUUGCAUUUGCUUGAAAUUGGAAGAUGCUCUCUUAACAAAAUCAUUCUUCAGCCUACCUUUUACUACUACAAGGGUAAGAGUUUGGCAUUAUUCCAUAAGCAGAGCAAGCGGCUUGAAAGGAAGUUGCCACCAGGGGUUAACCUCAUUUUAAUUCCAUCAUCAUCUUGACUUACUUUUUUUCUAGAAUUUAUUUAAUUCUUGCUGUAUAUCUCUGUUUAUUUACU